UACGGGGGGGGCAAGCGUUGUUCGGAAUUACUGGGCGUAAAGGGCUCGUAGGCGGCCAACUAGGUCAGACGUGAAAUCCCCAGGCUCAACCUGGGAACUGCGUCUGAUACUGGAUGGCUUGAAUCCGGGAGAGGGAUGCAGAAUUCCAGGUGUAGCGGUGAAAUGCGCAGAUAUCAGGAGGAACACCGGUGGCGAAGGCGGGUCUCUGGGCCGAUACUGACGCUGAGGAGCGAAAGCGUGGGGAGCGAACAGG
rnacentral:rRNA from 1 species